GAUGAACGCUGGCGGCGUGCCUAAUACAUGCAAGUCGAGCGAACAGACGAGGAGCUUGCUCCUCUGACGUUAGCGGCGGACGGGUGAGUAACACGUGGAUAACCUACCUAUAAGACUGGGAUAACUUCGGGAAACCGGAGCUAAUACCGGAUAAUAUAUUGAACCGCAUGGUUCAAUAGUGAAAGACGGUUUUGCUGUCACUUAUAGAUGGAUCCGCGCCGCAUUAGCUAGUUGGUAAGGUAACGGCUUACCAAGGCAACGAGGCGUAGCCGACCUGAGAGGGCGAUCGGCCACACGGCAGAUGGGACGCGGACCAAACCCCUACGGGAGGCAGGAGUAGGGAAUCUUCCGGAAGGGGCGAUGGCCUGUCGGAGCAACGCCGCGUGAGUGAGGAAGGUCUUCGGAUCGUAAAACUCUGUUAUUUGAGAAGAACAAAUGUGUAAGUAACGAUGCGCGUCUGGACGGAACCUAAGCAGAAAGCCCCGGCAAACUACGU
rnacentral:rRNA from 1 species